rnacentral:rRNA from 1 species
GAGUUUGAUCCUGGCUCAGAUUGAACGCUGGCGGCAGGCCUAACACAUGCGAGUCGAGCGGAUGACGGGAGCUUGCUCCUUGAUUCAGCGGCGGACGGGUGAGUAAUGCCUAGGAAUCUGCCUGGUAGUGGGGGACAACGUUUCGAAAGGAACGCUAAUACCGCAUACGUCCUACGGGAGAAAGCAGGGGACCUUCGGGCCUUGCGCUAUCAGAUGAGCCUAGGUCGGAUUAGCUAGUUGGUGGGGUAAUGGCUCACCAAGGCGACGAUCCGUAACUGGUCUGAGAGGAUGAUCAGUCACACUGGAACUGAGACACGGUCCAGACUCCUACGGGAGGCAGCAGUGGGGAAUAUUGGACAAUGGGCGAAAGCCUGAUCCAGCCAUGCCGCGUGUGUGAAGAAGGUCUUCGGAUUGUAAAGCACUUUAAGUUGGGAGGAAGGGCAGUAAGUUAAUACCUUGCUGUUUUGACGUUACCGACAGAAUAAGCACCGGCUAACUCUGUGCCAGCAGCCG